GUGCUCACUUCGGCAGCACAUAUACUAAAAUUGGAACAAAACAGAGAUUAGCACGGUUCCUGUGCAAGGAUGACACGCAAACUCAUGAAGCAGAGAGAGAGAGA
ensembl:snRNA LOC120098752 U6 spliceosomal RNA